UUAAAACGUGUGUUCAGACACAGUGAACACCGAUGUUCAAAUUUUGAUCUAAAAAAGAAGAUAACGUUAGUUGUUUGUCCGAUUUUCUUUCCUUCUAAUUGGCAAAUUUACAAAGAAAUUCAUUAAAAAAUAUGAAUGUAUACGCAGGAUGAUGAUCUUGUGAAUUUUUUACUAAUAUUUUAGUAAUUAUGAAAUAUUAAACUUCUAAGCUGGCAUAUAUGU
rnacentral:lncRNA from 1 species